UACGUAGGGAGCGAGCGUUGUCCGGAUUUAUUGGGCGUAAAGAGCUCGUAGGCGGUUCCGUAAGUCAGAUGUGAAAACUCAGGGCUCAACCCGGAGACGCCAUCUGAUACUGCGGUGACUGGAGUCUGGUAGGGGAACACGGAAUUCCUGGUGUAGCGGUGAAAUGCGCAGAUAUCAGGAGGAACACCGAUGGCGAAGGCAGUGUUCUGGGCCAGUACUGACGCUGAGGAGCGAAAGCGUGGGGAGCAAACAGG
rnacentral:rRNA from 1 species